GGUGCUUGCACUGGGGAUUAGUGGCGAACGGGUGAGUAACACGUGAGUAACCUGCCCUUAACUCUGGGAUAAGCCUUGGAAACGAGGUCUAAUACUGGAUAUUGACUUUUCCUCGCAUGGGGAUUGGUUGAAAGAUUUAUUGGUUUUGGAUGGACUCGCGGCCUAUCAGCUUGUUGGUGAGGUAAUGGCUCACCAAGGCGACGACGGGUAGCCGGCCUGAGAGGGUGACCGGCCACACUGGGACUGAGACACGGCCCAGACUCCUACGGGAGGCAGCAGUGGGGAAUAUUGCACAAUGGGCGAAAGCCUGAUGCAGCGACGCCGCGUGAGGGAUGACGGCCUUCGGGUUGUAAACCUCUUUCAGUAGGGAACAAGGCCAGACGUUGUCUGGUUGAGGGUACUUGCAGAAGAAGCGCCGGCUAACUACGUGCCAGCAGCCGCGGUAAUACGUAGGGCGCAAGCGUUAUCCGGAAUUAUUGGGCGUAAAGAGCUCGUAGGCGGUUUGUCGCGUCUGCCGUGAAAGUCCGGGGCUCAACUCCGGAUCUGCGGUGGGUACGGGCAGACUAGAGUGAUGUAGGGGAGACUGGAAUUCCUGGUGUAGCGGUGAAAUGCGCAGAUAUCAGGAGGAACACCGAUGGCGAAGGCAGGUCUCUGGGCAUUAACUGACGCUGAGGAGCGAAAGCAUGGGGAGCGAACAGGAUUAGAUACCCUGGUAGUCCAUGCCGUAAACGUUGGGCACUAGGUGUGGGGGACAUUCCACGUUUUCCGCGCCGUAGCUAACGCAUUAAGUGCCCCGCCUGGGGAGUACGGCCGCAAGGCUAAAACUCAAA
rnacentral:rRNA from 1 species